ACGAGUAUGUCAGAGUUUGAUCCUGGCUCAGGAUAAACGCUGACAGAAUGCUUAACACAUGCAAGUCAAUGAUGGGAAGCUAAGCCUAGCUUAGAAGAAGUCAUGGCGGACGGGUGAGUAACGUGUAAAGAACUUGCCCUCUAGACUGGGAUAACAGAUAGAAAUGUCUGAUAAUACCGGAUAUUAUUGUUACAUGGCAUCAUGUAGGAAUGAAAGGAUAAGAUUGCUAGAGGAGAGCUUUGCAUCCUAUUAGCUAGUUGGUGAGGUAACGGCCCACCAAGGCAAUGAUGGGUAGCCGGCCUGAGAGGGUGAACGGCCACAAGGGGACUGAGACACGGCCCUU
rnacentral:rRNA from 1 species